rnacentral:lncRNA from 1 species
AAUAAUACAAGCCCCAUAAAGGAUUCAAGUAGUUUAGGCCCUCAAAAUUAAUUUGAGCCCAUAAGCCUCCUAUAAGGUUUGGAAGGUAACACUAGAAAGGGUAUUCUAAGGUUUAUAAGUUUUAGGGAGUUUCGUGGUGACCAAAUGUUAAAAUUUUGGAGUUUUGUUUCUUGGAAAAAAAAUCAACCAAAAACCAUCAAAAUCUAAAGCAUCUCAAAAUAAUUAACAUCUAUAAUCUCCUUUGAAAAUGGAGAUUAAAGAGAGUGGG